AUUGAACGCUGGCGGCAGGCCUAACACAUGCAAGUCGAGCGAGCGGCGGACGGGUGAGUACUGUAUGGGGACUGCCCGAUAGAGGGGGAUAACUACUGGAAACGGUAGCUAAUACCGCAUACUGUCGGAUAACCCAUAUGGGAUUAGCUAGUAGGUACGGUAAUGGCUUACCUAGGCGACGAUCCCUAGCUGGUCUGAGAGGAUGAUCAGCCAAAAUGGGAAUGGGACACGGCCCAGACUCCAAGGGGGGGAGCAGGGGGGAAGAUUGGAAAAUGGGCGAAAAGCGGAUGCAGGCAUGGCGCGGGUAUGAAGAAGGCCCUAGGGGUGUAAAGUAAUUUCAGUCGGGAGGCGUUAACGGCAGAAGAAGCACCGGCUAAAUCCGGGCCAGGAGGCGCGGUAAUAC
rnacentral:rRNA from 1 species